rnacentral:rRNA from 1 species
GAUGAACGCUGGCGGCGUGCCUAACACAUGCAAGUCGAACGAACAGAUAAGGAGCUUGUUCCUUUGACGUUAGCGGCGGGCGGGUGAGUAACGCGUGGAUCGCCUACCUCUAUGUCGGGGAUCACUUCGGAAAGCCGGAGAUAAUACUAGAUCAUAUAUUCUACGGGUGGGUUCAGUAGUGAAAGGCGGUUUUGCUGUCACAUAUAGCCGGAUCCAGGCCGCCUUAGCUAGUUGGUAAGGUCCCGGCUUACCAAGGCAACGAUGCGUAGCUGAGCUGAGAGGGUGAUCGGCCACACUGGAACUGAGACACGGUCCAGACUCCUACGGGAGGCAGCAGUGGGGAAUCUUGGGCAAUGGGCGAAAGCUUGACGGAGCAACGCCGCGUGGGUGAUGAAGGCCUUCGGGUCGUAAAGCUCUGUUAUUAGGGAAGAAAAGAUGUAGAAGAAACUAUGGAUGUCGUGACGGUACCUAAUCAAAAAGCACCGGCUAACUACGUG